GACGAACGCUGGCGGCGUGCCUAAUACAUGCAAGUCGAACGGUCUUUUCUAUGGAAGCUUGCUUCCGCUGAGAAGAUAGUGGCGAACGGGUGAGUAACACGUGGGUAACCUACCCAUCAGCGGGGGAUAACACUUGGAAACAGGUGCUAAUACCGCAUAAUUCUUUUCUUCGCCUGAAGGGAAGAUGAAAGACGCUUUUGCGUCACUGAUGGAUGGACCCGCGCUGCAUUAGCUAGUUGGUGGGGUAACGGCUCACCAAGGCCACGAUGCAUAGCCGACCUGAGAGGGU
rnacentral:rRNA from 1 species